rnacentral:misc_RNA from 1 species
GAAAUGCGAUAAUUAAUGUGAAUUUCAGAAUUCAGUGAAUCAUCGAGUCUUUGAACGCAGAUUGCGCCCCCUGGUAUUCCGGGGGGCAUGCCUGUCCGAGCGUCAUUGCUGCCCUCAAGCACGGCUUGUGUGUUGGGCUUCCGUCCCUGGCAACGGGGACGGGCCCAAAAGGCAGUGGCGGCACCAUGUCUGGUCCUCGAGCGUAUGGGGCUUUGUCACCCGCUCCCGUAGGUCCAGCUGGCAGCUAGCCUCGCAACCAAUCUUUUUAACCAGGUUGACCUCGGAUCAGGUAGGGAUACCCGCUGAACUUAAGC